UGGAUAUCAGGAACGGAUGACGUCAGUCAUUAAUGGAUCACAGUUGACCAGGAGAAACUAAAAUCAUGGAAAACAAAACCAUGGAUAAGGCAGUACUACUGUAUACAGUUGGCCCUCCAUAUCCAUGCACUCUGCAUCAGUGGAUUCAAUCAGCCAUGGAUAAAAAAAUGUUUGAAAAAGUUUAAAAGAAUGGUUGUUUCUGUACUGAACAGGUUAGGUGUUCAAGCUGUGUUAAAUCACAUCCCUGAUGUUUAUGUGAUCAGGAUAUGUGCCCUUGAGUGACCACGCAGAAGUGCAUCUUCAAUGUUAGCUAAUACACCUCUAACGUAUUGAAGGAAAAAAAUCAAACCAUACAGACAGGACUGGAAUACAUAACUAGCUCUUCAGUGCAAAGACACAGACCUACGUCAUGAGAAACAACAGCCAACUAGGAACCAUAACCU
rnacentral:lncRNA from 1 species